CGUCGGCCACACUGGGACUGAGAUACGGCCCAGACUCCUACGGGAGGCAGCAGUCGAGAGGCAUCGGCAAUGGGGGAAACCCUGACCGUGCGACGUCGCGUGGGUGAUGAAGGUCUUUGGACCGUAAAACCCUGUCAGGUGGGAAGAAUCAACCAUUCGGCUAAUACCCGAGUGGCCUGACGGUACCACCAGAGGAAGCUCCGGCUAACUCCGUGCCAGCAGCCGCGGUAACACGGGGGGAGCAAGCGUUGUUCGGAUUUAUUGGGCGUAAAGAGCUCGUAGGCGGCUCUGUAAGUCGGGGGUGAAAUACAACGGCUCAACCGUUGAAACGCCCUCGAAACUGUGGAGCUUGAGGUCGGGAGAGGAAAGUGGAAUUCCUGGAGUAGCGGUGAAAUGCGUAGAUAUCAGGAGGAACACCAGUGGCGAAGGCGGCUUUCUAGACCGAACCUGACGCUGAGGAGCGAAAGCUAGGGGAGCAAACAGGAUUAGAUACCCUGGUAGUCCUAGCUGUAAACGAUGGGCACUAGGUGUGGGAGGAUCGACCCCUUCCGUGCCGCAGUUAACGCAUUAAGUGCCCCGCCUGGGGAGUACGACCGCAAGGUUGAAACUCAAAGGAAUUGACGGGGGCCCGCACAAGCGGUGGAGCAUGUGGUUUAAUUCGAUGAUACGCGAAGAACCUUACCGGGGCUUGACAUGUGGUAGACCGGUGUAGAAAUACACUUUUCCUUUACGGGACUGCUACACAGGUGCUGCAUGGCUGUCGUCAGCUCGUGUCGUGAGAUGUUGGGUUAAGUCCCGCAACGAGCGCAACCCUUGUCCUUAGUUGCCAUCAGACCUUCGGGUGCUGGGCACUCUAGGGGGACUGCCGGUGACAAACCGGAGGAAGGUGGGGAUGACGUCAAGUCAUCAUGGCCCUUACGUCCCGGGCUACACACGUGCUACAAUGGCCGGUACAGAGGGUUGCGAGGUCGCAAGGCUUAGCGAAUCCCAAAAAGCCGGUCUCAGUUCGGAUUGGAGUCUGCAACUCGACUCUAUGAAGGCGGAAUCGCUAGUAAUCGCGGAUCAGCAGGCCGCGGUGAAUACGUUCCCGGGCCUUGUACACACCGCCCGUCAAGUCAACCGAGUUGAGUGCACCCGAAGUCGCUGUACCAACCCUUAGGGGAGGAAAGCGCCGAAGGUGUGCUUGAUAAGAGGGACUAAGUCGGAACAAGGUA
rnacentral:rRNA from 1 species